AUUGAACGCUGGCGGCAUGCCUUACACAUGCAAGUCGAACGGUAACGGGUCCUUCGGGAUGCCGACGAGUGGCGAACGGGUGAGUAAUAUAUCGGAACGUGCCCAGUAGUGGGGGAUAACUGCUCGAAAGAGCAGCUAAUACCGCAUACGACCUGAGGGUGAAAGGGGGGGAUCGCAAGACCUCUCGCUAUUGGAGCGGCCGAUAUCAGAUUAGCUAGUUGGUGGGGUAAAGGCCUACCAAGGCAACGAUCUGUAGUUGGUCUGAGAGGACGACCAGCCACACUGGGACUGAGACACGGCCCAGACUCCUACGGGAGGCAGCAGUGGGGAAUUUUGGACAAUGGGCGCAAGCCUGAUCCAGCAAUGCCGCGUGCAGGAAGAAGGCCUUCGGGUUGUAAACUGCUUUUGUCAGGGAAGAAAUCUUCUGGGCUAAUACCCCGGGAGGAUGACGGUACCUGAAGAAUAAGCACCGGCUAACUACGUGCCAGCAGCCGCGGU
rnacentral:rRNA from 1 species